rnacentral:rRNA from 1 species
UACGGAGGGGGCUAGCGUUGUUCGGAAUUACUGGGCGUAAAGCGCACGUAGGCGGCUUUGUAAGUUAGAGGUGAAAGCCCGGGGCUCAACUCCGGAAUUGCCUUUAAGACUGCAUCGCUAGAAUUGUGGAGAGGUAAGUGGAUUUCCGAGUGUAGAGGUGAAAUUCGUAGAUAUUCGGAAGAACACCAGUGGCGAAGGCGACUUACUGGACACAUAUUGACGCUGAGGUGCGAAAGCGUGGGGAGCAAACAGG